GACGAACGCUGGCGGCGUGCUUAACACAUGCAAGUCGAACGAAGAGCGAUGGAAGCUUGCUUCUAUCACUCUUAGUGGCGAACGGGUGAGUAACGCGUAAUCAACCUGCCCUUCAGAGGGGGACAACAGUUGGAAACGACUGCUAAUACCGCAUACGAUCUAAUCUCGGCAUCGAGGAAAGAUGAAAGGUGGCCUCUAUUUAUAAGCUAUCACUGAAGGAGGGGAUUGCGUCUGAUUAGCUAGUUGGAGGGGUACCGGCCCACCAAGGCGAUGAUCAGUAGCCGGUCGGAGAGGAUGAACGGCCACAUUGGGACUGAGACACGGCCCAGACUCCUACGGGAGGCAGCAGUGGGGAAUCUUCCGCAAUAGACGAAAGUCUGACGGAGCAACGCCGCGUGAGUGAUGACGGCCUUCGGGUUGUAAAGCUCUGUUAAUCGGGACGAAAGGCCUUCUUGCGAACAGUUAGAAGGAUUGACGGUACCGGAAUAGAAAGCCACGGCUAACUACGUG
rnacentral:rRNA from 1 species